CCUACGGGAGGCAGCAGUGGGGAAUAUUGGGCAAUGGGCGCAAGCCUGACCCAGCAACGCCGCGUGAGGGAAGAAGGCUUUCGGGUUGUAAACUUCUUUUCUCAGGGACGAAACAGUUGACGGUACCUGAGGAAGAAGCCGCGGCUAACUAGGUGCCAGCAGCCGCGGUAAUACGUAGGUGGCAAGCGUUAUCCGGAUUUACGGGGUGUAAAGGGGGAGUAGGCGGGGAAGCAAGGCAGAUGUGAAAUCCAGGGGCGCAACCGGUGGCCUGCAUUUGAAACUGUUUUGCUUGAGUACAGGAGAGGUAGACGGAAUUCCUAGUGUAGCGGUGAAAUGCGUAGAUAUUAGGAGGAACACCAGUGGCGAAGGCGGUCUGCUGGACAGCAACUGACGCUGAGGCGCGAAAGCGUGGGGAGCAAACAGGAUUAGAUACCCUGGUAGUC
rnacentral:rRNA from 1 species